UUUCCGUUGGUGAACCAGCGGAAGGAUCAUUACAGAGAUCGGGCCCUUCGGGGUAGACCUCCCACCCUGUGUUUUUUACGUGUGUUGCUUUGGCGGGCCGCCUCCGGGCUCUCGGCUUCGGCCGCGGUGCGCCCGCCAGAGAACCCACAACCCUGUGUUUAGUGUCGUCGGGGUAUUAUCAAAUAAGUUAAAACUUUCAACAACGGAUCUCUUGGUUCUG
rnacentral:misc_RNA from 1 species